GUCCCUUAACCGCAUUUCGAAAUGCAGCACCCUUAACCGCAUUUCAAAGUGCGGCACCCCUUAACCGCAUUUCGAAGUGCGGUUGGUUUAUUUUGGGGGUGCAUCUUCGUUGUCCGCAGUUCACAUUGCGGCUGAAGCGAAACGCGGUUCGCAGUUUGCAACCUUCACGAGCUGUCUCUUCUUCUUUCUCUCCUCCAAU
rnacentral:lncRNA from 1 species